GCUUUCAAAAUCAAAAGGAACAUUCGUCAGUUUUCUGGGUUUUCGUUUUCCAGUGAUUCACCAGGGUAUGAGAAGAAAGAAAAUCAGCUUGUCAAACACACACUAACAGGACUGAAGGAAUUCUGUGGAUGGUUGGAUCUAGAGAAAAGUGGAACUAAAGAAGACCUGAUACACCGAAUUUUAGAUUAUUUAAUGGAACCACAGCCAUCAGGAAAACCUCCCCCAAAACCCAAAAG